GAUUCUGGCUCAGGAUGAACGCUAGCUACAGGCUUAACACAUGCAAGUCGAGGGGCAGCAUUGGAGUAGCAAUACUCAGAUGGCGACCGGCGCACGGGUGAGUAACACGUAUCCAACCUGCCGCUUACUCGGGGAUAGCCUUUCGAAAGAAAGAUUAAUACCCGAUGGUAUAAAGAGUUCGCAUGUUCUCUUUAUUAAAGAAUUUCGGUAAGCGAUGGGGAUGCGUUCCAUUAGAUAGUUGGCGGGGUAACGGCCCACCAAGUCUACGAUGGAUAGGGGUUCUGAGAGGAAGGUCCCCCACAUUGGAACUGAGACACGGUCCAAACUCCUACGGGAGGCAGCAGUGAGGAAUAUUGGUCAAUGGACGAGAGUCUGAACCAGCCAAAAGUAGCGUGAAGGAUGACUGCCCUAUGGGUUGUAAACUUCUUUUAUAAGGGAAUAAAGUGAGGGACGUGUCCCUUUUUGUAUGUACCUUAUGAAUAAGGAUCGGCUAACUCCGUGCCAGCCGCCGC
rnacentral:rRNA from 1 species